UAUCCCGACCAUCCUAGCCGAG
rnacentral:siRNA from 1 species